CAAAAUUCAAAAUCUAAAAAACUGGAUAAAUGCAUAACAUAUAUCGUUUCAGAGAACAACAAAGUUUCAAUAACCAGCUCAUAUUCCAAUUGGAAGAAUGGUCAAUGUACUCUUGUAUGCAGCAUAAAAAAUUGAAUAAGAGUGAAUUUCAGCAUAAAGACACAACAUCUAGCCAUAUAGCAGAAGUAACAUCAUCAGUAUCGAUUCACCAACAUAUUUAUGUCGUACUUUAUGCCUGUGAGAGAGAGCUUUUAAUAGACUUUUAUUUUUUCUAUUAUUAUUAUUAUUAACAAAAACCAAUGUAAAUAGAAAUGAUUUAACUUGAGGUAUGACUGUAUUAAAUAAUACAAAAUUACAAAAUUUAUAGCAUAGUUUGUGUGAAAAAUUUAAAACUAACUGGUUUUAAUGUUUCAAUAUUUUACAAUACUUUAUUCAUGUGUCUUAAUUUAAAAAAAAAAAAGUGCUAAUUCAAGUCACUCUCAGUUUAUGAUAGAAUUCUGUUUCUGAAGAUUUUGUUACAAAAAAUUGACAUAAAAUGAAUAAGUCU
rnacentral:lncRNA from 1 species